UGCCCCAGUAACGGCGAGUGAAGCGGCAACAGCUCAAAUUUGAAAUCUGGCUCUCGGGCCCGAGUUGUAAUUUGUAGAGGAUGCUUUUGGUGAGGUGCCUUCCGAGUUCCCUGGAACGGGACGCCAUAGAGGGUGAGAGCCCCGUCUGGUUGGACACCGAUCCUCUGUAAAGCUCCUUCGACGAGUCGAGUAGUUUGGGAAUGCUGCUCUAAAUGGGAGGUAUAUGUCUUCUAAAGCUAAAUACCGGCCAGAGACCGAUAGCGCACAAGUAGAGUGAUCGAAAGAUGAAAAGAACUUUGAAAAGAGAGUUAAAAAGUACGUGAAAUUGUUGAAAGGGAAGCGCUUGUGACCAGACUUGGGCUUGGUUGAUCAUCCGGGGUUCUCCCCGGUGCACUCUUCCGGCUCAGGCCAGCAUCAGUUCGCCCUGGGGGAUAAAGGCUUCGGGAAUGUGGCUCUCUCCGGGGAGUGUUAUAGCCCGCUGCGUAAUACCCUGUGGCGGACUGAGGUUCGCGCAUUCGCAAGGAUGCUGGCGUAAUGGUCAUCAGUGACCCGUCUUGAAACACGGACCAAGGAGUCGUCUUCGUAUGCGAGUGUUCGGGUGUCAAACCCCUACGCGAAAUGAAAGUGAACGCAGGUGAGAGCUUCGGCGCAUCAUCGACCGAUCCUGAUGUUAUCGGAUGGAUUUGAGUAAGAGCAUACGGGGCCGGACCCGAAAGAAGGUGAACUAUGCCUGUGUAGGGUGAAGCCAGAGGAAACUCUGGUGGAGGCUCGCAGCGGUUCUGACGUGCAAAUCGAUCGUCAAACAUGGGCAUGGGGCGAAAGACUAAU
rnacentral:rRNA from 1 species